GAAACUUAAAGGAAGUUGACGGGGCCCGCACAAGCGGAGGAGCAUGUGGUUUAAUUCGAUGAUACGCGAGGAACCUUACCUGGGCUCGAACGUAAGAUGACUGUAGGUGAAAGCUUACAUCUCUUCGGAGCAUUUUACGAGGUGCUGCAUGGUUGUCGUCAGCUCGUGCCGUGAGGUGUCGGGUUAAGUCCCAUAACGAGCGCAACCCUACCUUUAGUUGCCAUCAGGUAAUGCUGGGGACUCUAAAGGAACUGCCUACGCAAGUAGUGAGGAAGGCGGGGAUGACGUCAAAUCAGCACGGCCCUUACGUCCAGGGCUACACACGUGCUACAAUGGCCGAUACAGAGGGCAGCUACCUGGUGACAGGAUGCAAAUCUCCAAAGUCGGUCUCAGUUCGGAUCGGAGUCUGCAACCCGACUCCGUGAAGUUGGAUUCGCUAGUAAUCGCGCAUCAGCCAUGGCGCGGUGAAUACGUUCCCGGGCCUU
rnacentral:rRNA from 1 species